rnacentral:rRNA from 1 species
CGUUAAGAACGAGACCUUAACCUGCUAAAUAGCUAGGCCUAACAUUGUUAGGUCGCCAGCUUCUUAGAGGGACUAUCGGUGUUUAACCGAUGGAAGUUUGAGGCAAUAACAGGUCUGUGAUGCCCUUAGAUGUCCUGGGCUGCACGCGCGCUACACUGACGGAGACAUCGAGUUUAGAGCCUAGCUCGACAGGGCCGGGUAAUCUUCGAAACUCCGUCGUGCUGGGGAUAGAUCAUUGCAAUUAUUGGUCUUCAACGAGGAAUUCCUAGUAGGCGCAUUUCAUCAGAAUGUGCCGAUUACGUCCCUGCCCUUUGUACACACCGCCCGUCGCUACUACCGAUUGAAUGGCU